AGGAGCUUGCUCCUUGAUUUAGCGGCGGACGGGUGAGUAAUGCCUAGGAAUCUGCCUAGUGGUGGGGGAUAACGUUCCGAAAGGAACGCUAAUACCGCAUACGUCCUACGGGAGAAAGCGGGGGAUCUUCGGACCUCGCGCCAUUAGAUGAGCCUAGGUCGGAUUAGCUAGUUGGUGAGGUAAUGGCUCACCAAGGCGACGAUCCGUAACUGGUCUGAGAGGAUGAUCAGUCACACUGGAACUGAGACACGGUCCAGACUCCUACGGGAGGCAGCAGUGGGGAAUAUUGGACAAUGGGCGAAAGCCUGAUCCAGCCAUGCCGCGUGUGUGAAGAAGGUCUUCGGAUUGUAAAGCACUUUAAGUUGGGAGGAAGGGUAUUCACCUAAUACGUGAGUAUUUUGACGUUACCGACAGAAUAAGCACCGGCUAACUUCGUGCCAGCAGCCGCGGUAAUACGAAGGGUGCAAGCGUUAAUCGGAAUUACUGGGCGUAAAGCGCGCGUAGGUGGUUCGUUAAGUUGGAUGUGAAAGCCCCGGGCUCAACCUGGGAACUGCAUCCAAAACUGGCGAGCUAGAGUACGGUAGAGGGUGGUGGAAUUUCCUGUGUAGCGGUGAAAUGCGUAGAUAUAGGAAGGAACACCAGUGGCGAAGGCGACCACCUGGACUGAUACUGACACUGAGGUGCGAAAGCGU
rnacentral:rRNA from 1 species